rnacentral:rRNA from 1 species
GGCGGACGGGUGAGUAACACGUGGGCAACCUACCUAUAAGACUGGGAUAACUCCGGGAAACCGGGGCUAAUACCGGAUAAUUCAAUUCUCUGCAUAGAGGGAUGAUAAAAGAUGGCUUCGGCGAUCACUUACAGAUGGGCCCGCGGCGCAUUAGCUAGUUGGUGAGGUAAGGGCUCACCAAGGCGACGAUGCGUAGCCGACCUGAGAGGGUGAUCGGCCACACUGGGACUGAGACACGGCCCAGACUCCUACGGGAGGCAGCAGUAGGGAAUCUUCGGCAAUGGACGAAAGUCUGACCGAGCAACGCCGCGUGAGUGAGGAAGGCCUUCGGGUCGUAAAACUCUGUUGUCAGGGAAGAACAAGUACCGUUCGAAUAGGGCGGUACCUUGACGGUACCUGACCAGAAAGCCACGGCUAACUACGUGCCAGCAGCCGCGGUAAUACGUAGGUGGCAAGCGUUGUCCGGAAUUAUUGGGCGUAAAGCGCGCGCAGGCGGUCUCUUAAGUCUGAUGUGAAAGCCCACGGCUCAACCGUGGAGGGUCAUUGGAAACUGGGGGACUUGAGUACUGGAGAGGAGAGUGGAAUUCCACGUGUAGCGGUGAAAUGCGUAGAUAUGUGGAGGAACACCAGUGGCGAAGGCGGCU